CUAAGAUACUACAAACUUCAGCCAUUCGACCUUUGUCUUUGGAACCCGUUGGGUAGGAAUUUCACAUCUUCAAGUUUGAAAACCUGGCAAAACUAUUCUAAAUUCAGUUCUCGCUUGCCCUAUACACAAAGCAUAUUUGACUUCAGUUCAGCUGAAUUUUGUGUUUGUGAGAGUGGAACCAUAAAAUCAAUGGCCGAUGCAGGCAAUGAUGGUUGUGAAGAUAUAGAAGCUUCUGUAAAGAAACUCUCUCUGGGAUCAUCUUCAUCCGAUAGUAAACAGUUGGAUCCAUUUGGUGCACUAUUAAGAUUAUGUGGCCAGUCGGCUCCGUUAAAAUUUGGGGUUAUGUUCUUUACAUACUGUGACCUAGAAAAGAUUAACAAAAUUGGUGAAGCCAUGUUUGCAAAAUAGUCCCAAUUGAAGGCAACUUACUGGUGAAUGGGGAGGUGCAAAAGGUACUUGUUCAAUAAUAUGCUUUCUAGUGAAGGGAUCUGUCGCUUUGUUGAAUGAUACCGUAAUGUGGUUACAGUGCUCCAGACAUCUAAAAAAAUGCUAGAAGAGGUUAUCCAACUUAUCCUUUCCCGCACUCUUAACUGCUUAAGAGGACAUGAUAGUGAUGUUCCGAAUGCUUGCACUACAUUUAUCGAAACAAUAGAUGUGAGAGUGUGCCAAGGUUCUUACGAUGCUGCCUUGAUCAAAGCAUGGGAGGACUGGGAUGAAAAGUGUGGUUCGGAAAAUGAUCACCCCAAGGCAUUUCCAGAUAACCAGUGCUAUGUCGUGUUUGUUUUAGAAAAUGGUGGCGAACAUCUUGAAAGCUUUGUACUUCUGAACAUUGAUGAAGCACGGAGUUGAAUCUAGAGUUAUAUCAGCAAAUAUAUGUUUUCUUGUACAAAAUAAUAGAUCGUUAAUCAUUUGCAGUCAGAAACAUACCGAAAGAUGAAGAAGGUAACAGAGGACUGCUGGGAGGGAAGGUGUGGUUGAUAUCGAAUAUAAUAUCACAUGGAGCAUCUGAGAGAACACGGUGAAAAUUGAAAAGCGAAGAAGAAUGCUUUGAUACCCGCUUGAAUAUCUUCUUGUGAAGAUUGAAAUUUGAUCGUCCAUUUUUUUCUGUAAUUUUGACAGACUGAUAAUUGUGUUUCCCCAGAACAAAUGUAAUAUGGUUGAUAUACCUGGUGGAUAUAUUACGGCUAAAGAAAUCAUUUGAAAGUCGUUCAAAGGACGAGAGGGAUUUGCGCUCGUUGAAGAAGCAUCUUGGCAAGUAUCAGUCAGCCAGAGAAGCACUUCUUGAUCCCUCUUUCGGUCACUUGUUUGUUGAUCCUCCUGGCAUUUAAGUUACAACUAGGAAUGACAAGAUGCUAUAGUGUAGGUUCGAAACUGAAUAUUUAUGCUUCUAGUGAGUAGAAAUGUUGUAAAUAUGUAGUGAAGCUGUAGGGUUCAGAUAACAUCAACGCAAUAAUUUUUGCAGAUGUGGACGUAGCCACAUUGAUUUGAGUGGAUGUGCUUCGUUUUGCA